UUCAGCCCCAACCCUCCUUCAACCUCCAAUCGCGACGGGGUGAUGAGGGUUCUACGACGCUGCUAAGGUAAGCUUUUGCUUUUCGUUUCUUUUCUUAACAAAUCUGUAAACGUUAACAAAAAAAAAAAUUGUAGAAAAGCAAAUAAAACAAAAAAAGAAAUUAACAGUGGUGAUUCACCUUCUGUUUUUUUAUUUUAUUCCUCACUAUGUAUUUAGUCUCUGUAUUUCGUAUCUCUUUACACUCCAUCCCCCCAUUUUUAUUUUUGUGUGUGCCUUUAUAGCAAAUAAUAAAAGAAAAAUAAUGUAAGAAAUCUCUCUAGUAUCUGUUUCAUUCACGAUCUUUGCCAUAUAUUGUUUUGUUUCUUUUCUUGUCGUGCAGGUGAAGGCGCACGCGUGAAGAUUUGGUUCGUGGCUGCGGCGCUGAUGAUUUCCUCAGAAACUCUAGGGAUUUCUGUAACUUUUGGGCAUUUGGGCCACAUAUAAUUGGGCCACUAUUCUUUAAAAAAAUCGAGUCUGGAGUUUGGGCCUAUUUUAUUGUAAUUGGACUGUUUUAUUUGGGCCUUUUUACCUGGGCCAAAAUAAGGUAUUACAAAUAAUAAUU
rnacentral:lncRNA from 1 species